GCUGGGCAUGGUGAUGCAUGCCUGUAAUCCCAGCUACUCAGGAGGCUGAGGCAGGAGAAUCUCUUGAACCCAGGAGUUGGAGGUUGCAGUGAGCCAAGAUGGUGCCCCUGCACUCCAGCCUGGGCAACAGAGUGAGACCCUAUCUCAA
ensembl:misc_RNA Metazoa_SRP Metazoan signal recognition particle RNA